AUUGAACGCUGGCGGCAUGCUUUACACAUGCAAGUCGGACGGCAGCGGGGUAGUGCUUGCACUACUGCCGGCGAGUGGCGAACGGGUGAGUAACAUAUCGGAACGUACCGAGCAGUGGGGGAUAACUAAUCGAAAGAUUAGCUAAUACCGCAUAUCUUCUGAGGAAGAAAGCAGGGGACCUUUGGGCCUUGCGCUGUUUGAGCGGCCGAUAUCUGAUUAGCUGGUUGGUGGGGUAAAGGCCUACCAAGGCGACGAUCAGUAGCGGGUCUGAGAGGAUGAUCCGCCACACUGGGACUGAGACACGGCCCAGACUCCUACGGGAGGCAGCAGUGGGGAAUUUUGGACAAUGGGGGCAACCCUGAUCCAGCCAUGCCGCGUGUCUGAAGAAGGCCUUCGGGUUGUAAAGGACUUUGUCCGGGAAGAAAAGCGCGAUGUAAUACCAUGCGUGUGACGGA
rnacentral:rRNA from 1 species